UACGGAAGGCAGCAGUGGGGAAUCUUGCACAAUGCACGAAAGUGUGAUGCAGCAACGCCGCGUGCGGGAAGACGGCCUUCGGGUUGUAAACCGCUUUCAGUUGGACGAAGGUUCACGAGUUAAUAGCUCGUUGGAUUGACGGUACCUUCACAAGAAGCCCCGGCUAACUACGUGCCAGCAGCCGCGGUAAUACGUAGGGGCAAGCGUUGUCCGGAAUCAUUGGGCGUAAAGCGCGUUGUAGGCGGCUCGAUAAGUCUGCUGUGAAAGUCCAGGGCUCAACCCCUGGGAUGCCGGUGGAUACUGUCGAGCUCGAGUCCGGAAGAGGAGUGUGGAAUUCCUGGUGUAGCGGUGAAAUGCGCAGGAUAUCAGGAGGAACACCAAUAGCGAAAGGGCAGGCACGUCUGGGUACGUGACUGACGCUGAGACGCGAAAGCGUGGGGAGCA
rnacentral:rRNA from 1 species